rnacentral:rRNA from 1 species
AUUGAACGCUGGCGGCAGGCCUAACACAUGCAAGUCGAACGAGUGGCGGACGGGUGAGUAAUGUCUGGGAAACUGCCUGAUGGAGGGGGAUAACUACUGGAAACGGUAGCUAAUACCGCAUACCAUCGGAUGUGCCCAGAUGGGAUUAGCUUGUAGGUGGGGUAAAGGCUCACCAAGGCGACGAUCCCUAGCUGGUCUGAGAGGAUGACCAGCCACACUGGGACUGAGACACGGCCCAGACUCCUACGGGAGGCAGCAGUGGGGAAUAUUCGCCAAUGGGCGAAAGCCUGACGCAGCAACGCCGCGUGUAUGAAGAAGGUUUUCGGGUUGUAAAGUACUGUCAGCGGGGAAGCGUUACCUGCACAAGAAGCCACGGCUAACUACGUGCCAGCAGCCGCGGUAAUAC